rnacentral:rRNA from 1 species
AGUGAACGCUGGCGGUAGGCCUAACACAUGCAAGUCGAACGGCAGCACAGUAAGAGCUUGCUCUUACGGGUGGCGAGUGGCGGACGGGUGAGGAAUACAUCGGAAUCUACUUUUUCGUGGGGGAUAACGUAGGGAAACUUACGCUAAUACCGCAUACGACCUACGGGUGAAAGCAGGGGAUCUUCGGACCUUGCGCGAUUGAAUGAGCCGAUGUCGGAUUAGCUAGUUGGCGGGGUAAAGGCCCACCAAGGCGACGAUCCGUAGCUGGUCUGAGAGGAUGAUCAGCCACACUGGAACUGAGACACGGUCUAGACUCCUACGGGAGGCAGCAGUGGGGAAUAUUGGACAAUGGGCGCAAGCCUGAUCCAGCCAUAACGCGUGGGUGAAGAAGGCCUUCGGGUUGUAAAGCCCUUUUGUUGGGAAAGAAAAGCAGCAGGUUAAUACCCCGCUGUUCUGACGGUACCCAAAGAAUAAGCACCGGCUAACUUCGU